rnacentral:rRNA from 1 species
UACGGAGGGGGCUAGCGUUGUUCGGAAUUACUGGGCGUAAAGCGCACGUAGGCGGCUUUGUAAGUUAGAGGUGAAAGCCCGGGGCUCAACUUCGGAAUUGCCUUUAAGACUGCAUCGCUAGAAUCAUGGAGAGGUGAGUGGAAUUCCGAGUGUAGAGGUGAAAUUCGUAGAUAUUCGGAAGAACACCAGUGGCGAAGGCGACUCACUGGACAUGUAUUGACGCUGAGGUGCGAAAGCGUGGGGAGCAAACAGGG